rnacentral:lncRNA from 1 species
CGAUGACACUCUGUGCCAAGAAUCGCUGAAAGGGAUGAUAAUCCCUUGGAGCUUCAGCAGUGUCAAGAAUGGCUGCGUAGUUAUUUGGAACAAAUUCAACACCUGCCAAGAUAAAAGAUGUAGUGGCCAUUAGAUCAGAGAUUAUGAGAAGAAGAUGUUUGAGGAAGUGUGUAGAUGAAGAUUUGAAUUUGCAGAGAACAGAGUGUAAGAGUGUUGGUUAGAAAGUGAAAGUAGAGAGUAAGUGUAAAAUUGAAUAAUAAGCAAUAAAAUCUGAUCUGAAAAACUCUUCAGAUUUUGUUGAACUGAGUACGCAUGGGCUUUUUGUUCAAUUAGA